GUGGCGGUGCAGGAGUAGGGGGUGGUUAUGGUGGAGGAGGUGAAGCUGGUGGAGGCUAUGGGAAAGGAGGCGGUGCAAGAGCAGGGGGUGGUUAUGGUGGAGGAGGUGAAGGUGGAGGAGGCUAUGGAAAGGGUGGCGGUG